CUACGGGUCGCUGCAGGGGAUAUUGCGCAAUGGGCGAAAGCCUGACGCAGCAACGCCGCGUGAGGGAAGAAGGCCUUCGGGUCGUAAACCUCUUUUCUUGGGGAAGAAGAAAGUGACGGUACCUGAGGAAUAAGUCUCGGCUAACUACGUGCCAGCAGCCGCGGUAAGACGUAGGAGGCGAGCGUUAUCCGGAAUUACUGGGCGUAAAGGGCGAGUAGGCGGCUCGUUAAGUUUAUGGUGAAAUCUCCCGGCUCAACUGGGAGGGGGUCAUAGAAACUGGCGGGCUUGAGGGCAGCAGAGGGAGGUGGAAUUCCCGGUGUAGUGGUGAAAUGCGUAGAUAUCGGGAGGAACACCAGUGGCGAAAGCGGCCUCCUGGGCUGCAUCUGACGCUGAGGAGCGAAAGCGUGGGGAGCAAACAGGAUUAGAUACCCGGGUAGUC
rnacentral:rRNA from 1 species